GAUGAACGCUGGCGGUGUGCCUAAUACAUGCAAGUCGAGCGAACAGACGAUGAGCUCGUUCCUCUGCCGUUAGCGGCGGGCGGGCGAGUAACACGUGGAUAACCUACCUCUAAGUCUGGGAUAAUUUCGGGAAACCGGAGCCAAUACCAGCUCAUACAUUCAACCGCAUGGUUCAAUAGUUCAUCACGGCUUUCGCGACUCUUAUAGCUGGUUCCGCGUCGCAUUAGCUAGUUGGUAAGGUAACGGCUUACCAAGGCGACGAUGCGUAGCCGACCUGAGAGGAUGAUCAGCCACACUGGAACUGAGACACGGUCCAGACUCCUACGGGAGGCAGCAGUAGGGAAUCUUCGACAAUGGGCGAAAGCCUGACGGAGCAACGCCGCGUGGGUGAUGAAGGUCUUCGGGUCGUAAAGCUCUUUUAUUGGGGAAGAACAGAAGUAUGAUUAACUAUGGACGUCUUGACGGUACCUAAACAGAAAGCAACGGCUAACUUCGUG
rnacentral:rRNA from 1 species